rnacentral:rRNA from 1 species
UACGGAGGGUGCAAGCAUUAAUCGGAUUUAUUGGGCGUAAAGGGCGCGUAGGCGGAUCUGUAAGUCAGAUGUGAAAUUUUUGGGCUCAACCUAGAAGCUGCAUAUGAAACUACAGGACUAGAGGAUAGGCGGAGAAAACAGAAUUCCACAAGUAGCGGUGAAAUGCGUAGAUAUGUGGAAGAAUACCGGUGGCGAAGGCGGUUUUCUAGCUUAGACCUGACGCUGAAGCGCGAAAGCAAGGGGAUCAAACAGG